rfam:Folsomia candida strain VT population Fcan01_Sc004, whole genome shotgun sequence.
UUAAAUGAUGACUAAUAAUUACCGCCCCAGUCUGAUACAAAUGAGUGACUGGUUAUUUGUGUACUUUU